rfam:Pseudomassariella vexata strain CBS 129021 BCR38scaffold_11, whole genome shotgun sequence.
GGUUGUGUAGUGUAGUGGUUAGCACGUGGGAUUUUGAUUCAAAAUGAAUAUUCCCGAGUCGGGAGUUCGAGCCUCCCCACGACCU